UCUAUUUCCUGGUCCUGAUUAUCUCCUU
rnacentral:piRNA from 1 species